GAUGAACGCUGGCGGCGUGCCUAAUACAUGCGAGUCGAGCGAACGGACGAGAAGCUUGCUUCUCUGAUGUUAGCGGCGGACGGGUGAGUAACACGUGGAUAACCUACCUAUAAGACUGGGAUAACUUCGGGAAACCGUAGCUAAUACCGGAUAAUAUUUUGAACCGCAUGGUUCAAAAGUGAAAGACGGUCUUGCUGUCACUUAUAGAUGGAUCCGCGCUGCAUUAGCUAGUUGGUAAGGUAACGGCUUACCAAGGCAACGAUGCAUAGCCGACCUGAGGGGGUGAUCGGCCACACUGGAACUGAGACACGGUCCAGACUCCUACGGGAGGCAGCAGUAGGGAAUCUUCCGCAAUGGGCGAAAGCCUGACGGAGCAACGCCGCGUGAGUGAUGAAGGUCUUCGGAUCGUAAAACUCUGUUAUUAGGGAAGAACAUAUGUGUAAGUAACUGUGCACAUCUUGACGGUACCUAAUCAGAAAGCCACGGCUAACUACGUG
rnacentral:rRNA from 1 species